rnacentral:rRNA from 1 species
CCUACGGGCGGCAGCAGUAGGGAAUCUUCCGCAAUGGGCGAAAGCCUGACGGAGCGACGCCGCGUGAGCGAGGAAGGCCUUCGGGUCGUAAAGCUCUGUUGUUGGGGAAGAAACCCCGGGAGGGGAUCCCGGGCUGACGGUACCCAACGAGGAAGCCCCGGCUAACUACGUGCCAGCAGCCGCGGUAAUACGUAGGGGGCGAGCGGUGUCCGGAAGCAUUGGGCGUAAAGCGCGCGCAGGCGGCCCUUUAAGUCUGAUGUGAUAGCCCGCGGCUCAACCGCGGAGGGGCAUUGGAAACUGGGGGGCUUGAGUGCAGGAGAGGAGAGCGGAAUUCCUGGUGUAGCGGUGAAAUGCGUAGAGAUCAGGAGGAACACCGAUGGCGAAGGCAGCUCUCCGGCCUGUAACUGACGCUGAGGCGCGAAAGCGUGGGGAGCAAACAGGAUUAGAUACCCCUGUAGUC